rnacentral:lncRNA from 1 species
AUGUAUUAAAAUAUUUUUCUUUUUGAUUUCUACUAUUUUUACAAGAUUUUUCUCUAGAUAUAAUAAGAAUGAAUGAGAGAAGGAAAGCCCUAAUUAAUACAUAUAGAAAGAGUAGUGAUUCACUUUUUAGUAAAACUAUGUAGGAAAAAAAACCUGCAUCCUUACAUUGCAAUGUAAUAGGUGAGAGGCUGGGAACGUAUGUGUUUGAAGUGUGGGAUAUUCCUGUUCUCCUAGAGCCCAGCACUUUACUAACUCCUUUAAUACUAUUUAAACUGUGAAGACUUUAAUAGCUGUGUCAAGGGUCUAAGUGCACUGGCAGACUUAAUUGCCUUGACAAGCCUCAUCUGGGAUCACCACUCCACUGGCACAGGAGCACCACUUCAGCUCUAGCUUAGUAACAAGAUUCUCCUUUGAGGUGGGCUGGGGCCAACAGUGCUUUGGCACAGGGCAGAGAUUGCUACAAAGCUGAGCUGUGAAUGUGGAAACGGAAGACUUGCGAGUAAAAUGUAUUUUAAUACUUAAGGCCUUAGUCACAAAACCAGAUCCACAGAGUUCUUUCAGGAAAUCCCAGAGGGCCAUGCUUCUUGAGUCGGGUAAGAACUCAGAUUUCAAAUGCAUUGUCUUUAAACUUAGAAACUAAUUGGAUUUACAUUCUUUCUCUAGUUGCUCCCAGUUUUUUAACUUAGUAACUAAC